rnacentral:rRNA from 1 species
AGCGGAUUCCACACUGCGUGCGCAAGCGGUCAAACAGAAAAGACAACUCUGCCCAGCGCCAUCGCCAGCGUGUUCGCCCCAAUAAUGCGUCGCCGCCUCCACAUCCGUGUGCGGGAAUGUCAACCCGCUUCCCUUUCGCCGUUAAUUAGCAAUUGCCACUCGGCUUAGGAACGACUCACUCACGCCCAAUCAAUGUUCGCGUGAAACCCUUCCCCACUUCGCCCUUCAAGGAUCUCGCUUGAAUACUUGCUACUACCACCAAGAUCUGCACUAGCGGCCGUUCCACACGCGUCUGCACGCGCGCUUCGACACGGCCGCCACGYCCUCCUACUCAUCUGAAAUUCUUGUUCAGACGGCAAGGUGUCGGCCGCCCGCUUCAGCGCCAUCCAUUUUCAGGGCUAAUUCAUUCGGCAGGUGAGUUGUUACACACUCCUUGGCGGAUUCCGACUUCCAUGGCCACCGUCCUGCUGUCUCGAUGAAUCAACACCUUUUGUGGGGUCUAUAAGCGGGCAGUUUGGCGCCUUAACCUUGCUUACGGUUCAUCCCGUAUCGCCAGUUCUGCUUACCAAAAGUGGCCCACAGGGCCGACGUUUUUACCGGUACCGCUCAAUUAAGCAGCGGCACCCUUGCGCAUUGAAAGUUUGAGAAUCGCCCAAAGGCUAAACGCCCCCGAUUGCGCUAAUCAUUCGCUUUACCGCACAAAACAACUUGUCGGCCCGCUAUCCUGAGGGAAACUCGG